UUCAUUUUUAAAUAUGUAACCAAGUGCCACCUACUAGUAAGUUACUAUAUUAGGAACUCACAAUUAGUAAAAUUUGGUAAUUUGUAAAUUUGAAAUAGCACAAUACUGAAACUUAUUGAGAAUAGUAAUUCAGGAUUCUGUGAAAGUCAGUUUCCACUAAAUAUUUCACAGCACUGCAAAACUUGCACUGCUGCUGCACACAGGCAAACAGUAUGAAUUCCCACAGGGCUUGGCCAAGACACUGUGUUAUCAGUGCACCCCUAGUGUUAUCUAUAGUUUCCAAUUGCAGCUAUUCUUGCUGCUUAAUCAUCAGUCAUUGUUGAUUCCAAAUCAUCUUACUCUACAUUCUUUUGUAUUUGAUUUUCCUUUGUAAAAAAUGCCUUUUGAGUUUGUCUCCCCAAAAGUAGACUCUAAGAGAAGGAUGUGAGUGCAAGUGAUUUGUUCCAGGAGUGAUCUCAGGAAGCGCCGGACAAGAGUGGGGAAAUAAGACAGGAAAGGAAGAAAAUUACCAAAGGAGUGUGCUAAUGUGCAGAAUUACUGCUGUGGGUAAAUGGGGAUCAGGCCCUUGAGAACACUGGGGAGACUCUGCAGGACAUUCCUCAGUGUGGUCCUACCCAAGAGGGGAGGAGUUGGGAUGUUUAUCCAACAUUUUCCAUCUGAUGUCUGUUGAGGGCUACUUCGAGAGGCAUCAAUUCACAGAUUCUUCCAGUCUGCCCUGCAUGCUGAAACAUGCUCCUGCAGCCAGAGAAAACCCUCAGGAGAGCACCAGCACUUGGUGAGAGGCUGUGUGAGAAGAAGAAUCAGAGGAGACUGUUAACUGGAAUUGGAUUUUGGGAAUUCAUUCAGCUAGAAACAGCAUUUUUUGCCAUCACAUGAUGGUGGUGUCCCCACUCUGCCACAGUCCUUGUCAAUUCCAUCUUGCAGUUUCUCUGGACAUGUCUGACUUCUGAAAGAAUCAUUUUCUUCAACAUGUAUUUUGAAUUAUCUUCUCUGUACAUAAUUAUCUUCUAUCUCCUAGAAAUUCUUCACCAUGUUUGUUCCUCUAAUGGAAGAUUUUUUAUGUACUAUUACGGAUUAUUUUAAUAAAUUCUUUUUUUGCUAAGGCUUUACCGUGAGAGUAGGCACCUGUACUCAGUUUGUAAGUUGAUAAAAAUUUUUCAUAGCCCACUAUAUAUCAUUUAUUUUUGCAUAUCUAGCAACAUAAAAUUGGUUUUCAAUAAAGGCUGAAUAAAUAAAAUGUUUAAAUCAUUGCUUUUUAAGAAGUUCCAAC
rnacentral:lncRNA from 1 species